rnacentral:rRNA from 1 species
UACGGAGGGUGCGAGCGUUGUCCGGAAUCACUGGGCGUAAAGGGCGCGUAGGCGGCCUGAUAAGUAGGGGGUGAAAUCCUGCGGCUUAACCGCAGGGCUGCCUUCUAAACUGUCAGGCUAGAGCACAGUAGAGGCAGGUGGAAUUCCCGGUGUAGCGGUGGAAUGCGUAGAGAUCGGGAAGAACAUCAGUGGCGAAGGCGGCUAUCUGGACCGUAACUGACGCUGAGGCGCGAAAGCGUGGGGAGCAAACAGG